rnacentral:rRNA from 1 species
GACGAACGCUGGCGGCGUGCUUAACACAUGCAAGUCGAACGGAAAGGCCCUGCUUUUGUGGGGUGCUCGAGUGGCGAACGGGUGAGUAACACGUGAGUAACCUGCCCUUGACUUUGGGAUAACUUCAGGAAACUGGGGCUAAUACCGGAUAGGAGCUCCUGCUGCGUGGUGGGGGUUGGAAAGUUUCGGCGGUUGGGGAUGGACUCGCGGCUUAUCAGCUUGUUGGUGGGGUAGUGGCUUACCAAGGCUUUGACGGGUAGCCGGCCGGAGAGGGUGACCGGCCACAUUGGGACUGAGAUACGGCCCAGACUCCUACGGGAGGCAGCAGUGGGGAAUAUUGCACAAUGGGCGGAAGCCUGAUGCAGCAACGCCGCGUGCGGGAUGACGGCCUUCGGGUUGUAAACCGCUUUCGCCUGUGACGAAGCGUGAGUGACGGUAAUGGGUAAAGAAGCACCGGCUAACUACGUG